rnacentral:rRNA from 1 species
UAAUACAGAGACUGCAAGCGUUAUUCGGAUUCACUGGGCGUAAAGGGUGCGCAGGCGGUUGGGUGUGUCAGAUGUGAAAUCCCGAGGCUCAACCUCGGAACUGCGUCUGAAACUACUCGACUAGAGUACUGGAGAGGGAAACGGAAUUCACGGUGUAGCAGUGAAAUGCGUAGAUAUCGUGAGGAACACCAGAGGCGAAGGCGGUUUCCUGGACAGUUACUGACGCUCAGGCACGAAAGCAUGGGGAGCAAAAGGG